CUAUACACCUGUUGCUUUGGCGGGCCCACCGGGGCCACCUGGUCGCCGGGGGACGUUCGUCCCCGGGCCCGCGCCCGCCGAAGCGCUCUGUGAACCCUGAUGAAGAUGGGCUGUCUGAGUACUAUGAAAAUUGUCAAAACUUUCAACAAUGGAUCUCUUGGUUCCGGCAUCGAUGAAGAACGCAGCGAAAUGCGAUAAGUAAUGUGAAUUGCAGAAUUCCGUGAAUCAUCGAAUCUUUGAACGCACAUUGCGCCCCCUGGCAUUCCGGGGGGCAUGCCUGUCCGAGCGUCAUUUCUGCCCUCAAGCACGGCUUGUGUGUUGGGUGCGGUCCCCCCGGGGGCCUGCCCGAAAGGCAGCGGCGACGUCCGUCUGGUCCUCGAGCGUAUGGGGCUUUGUCACUCGCUCGGGAAGGACUGGCGGGGGUUGGUCACCACCACAAAAUUUUACCACGGUUGACCUCGGAUCAGGUAGGAGUUACCCGCUGAACUUAAGCAUAUCAA
rnacentral:rRNA from 1 species